GCACUGAUUGCCCGCGCCGGCCGAUCGGGCCUCAGGGGAGGGACGAGGCUGAGAGAGGGGACCCUCCAACUCCGGCCCUUCCAGGGGCGCCGGGGGACCGAAGAGAGAUUUGGGAAGGAGGGCUCUCUGGCGAGCUGGGAGGCUGUGACCUGGCCACAGGCGGCGGUCGCGGCGCGGAGGGCGCCCGAGGGUGUCCCAGGGGCCCUGGGAAGCGUUCUGGGCUCCCGCGUCUCUGCACCGUUGCAUCUCAAAGCGGGAGGACACAGUUCCGCGCCUAUGCCCAAGUGGAGGCAACUCGGUGCGCUCGAAUCCCGUGUGUGUGUGUGUGUGUGUGUGUGUGUGUGUGUGUGUGUGUGUGUGUAGAUCACUAAAUCCAGCUCUGCUUUAACCUGCACUCACUCCAUCGUGCACACGGCCUGUGCAUGCCACGUGUAUCCAGGCUCCUGUUUGCCUCUGUCUACCUAAAACUUCCUUUGCUGGCUGUUUUGUUAGUAAGGCUUUGCAUUUUUAACAAGCUCCUAUGUGCUGGGGGUGCUGCUGGUCCCAGAACUACACUCUCGAGUAGUGAGAGCUUAUCGGGGAGAUUCUUUUUAUUUUUUUGAGACAGGGUCUCCCUCUGUGGCUGAGGCCAGAGUGGAGUGGAGCAAUCAGGCUCACUGCCUCGACUUCCCCAGCUCAAGUGAUCCUUUCUGCCUCAGCCUCCUGAGUAGCUAGGACUACAGGCGUGAGCCAUCCAUCAUGCCCAGCUAAUUUUUUAAUUUUUUGUAAAGACUAGGUCUUACUACGUUGCCCAGGCUGGUCUGGAACUCCUGGUCUCAAGCGAUCCGCCUGCCUUGGCCUCCCAAAGUGCUGUAAUUACAGAUGAGAUUCUUUUUUUUUUUUUUUGAGACGCAGUCUCGCACUGUCGCCCAGGCUGGAGUGCAGUGCCACGAUCUCGGCUCACUGCAAGCUCUGCCUCCCGGGUUCACACCAUUCUCCUGCCUCAGCCUCCUGAGUAGCUGGGACUACAGGCGCCCGCCACCACGCCCGGCCAAUUUUUUUGUAUUUUUAGUAGAGAUGGGGUUUCACCAUGUUAUCCGGAAUAGUCUCGAUCUCCUGACCCCGUGAUCUGCCUGCCUCGGCCUCCCAAAGUGCUGGGAUUACAGGCGUGAGCCACCGCACCCCGCCGAGAUUCAUUCUUAAGUGCACCAAAUUUUGAGAAAUAUUGAUCCAGGUGCAAGGCUGCCAGGUCAGGCCAGUAUCCCCUCAGUGGGGUUGGGUUUGGAAGUCAUCUUAGUGGAGGGGUGGAAACACAAUUGUGCCUAUCUUCCCCAGCCAUGCAGGGAUCUGCCUUCCUGUGGAAUGAUCUCCAAUGAUCUUCAAGUAUCUCCUGCAGACCCAGUUCUCUUGCUAAAUAAGUCACUGGAAGAUAAUUCCUGGACACACCUUGGACAGCUCCCCACAUUUCUCUAUUUGGAGCUUUGGGGUGGUAGGAAAUUGAUGCCCUCAGAAAGGACACCCCCAACCAGCAAGAAACCAGAGUUGGUGGAAAACAUCAUUUCUUCACUCUCGAUGGGACAACCUGAAGGCAUGUUCUAGUCAAUACUCCUUCUCACAGGUCCCCAACAAGAGUUAGAGACAGAGUCUCGCUCUGUUGUUCAGGCUGGAGUGCAGUGGCGCCAUCAUGGCUCACUGCAGCCUUGAACUCCUGGGCUCAAGCAAUUCUCCCACCCGAGUAGCUGGAGUAUAGGUUCUCACCAACACGCACAGCUCUUUAUCUUUGACUUUCUGUUUCAUUUCUCUAUUCCCUCAUUAUGCUUCCUGGGAUCAUUUCACAGAUAAGCUACUUGCUCCCAAAUCCUUGUCUCAGGGGCAGUCAACAGAGACAGUGGCAGAGGACCAUGGGAGAGCUAGAAUUUCAGGUCUCCAGACUCCUAGUCCAGUGCUCUUUCCAGGGUUUCUCAACCUUGGCACUAUUAACAUUUUGGACUGGAUAAUGCAUUGCUAGGGAGGGUUGACCUAUGCACCGUAGGAUGUUUAGUAGCAUCCCUGACCUUUGUCCACUAAAUGCCACUAGCAUCCUCCAGUUGGGAACAGUCAAAACUGUUUUCUGCUUUAUCAGAAGUUCCCCGGGGCAAAACACUGUGGUUGCAAACCACUAUUCCACAUCAGGCCAUCUCCCUUGCCAGGUCCAGAGAAAGAAUUUCAAGCCCCAAGAUUCCUUUCCCCUCCCUGUUGCUCUUUAGAUCACAUAAAUGAAACCAC
rnacentral:lncRNA from 1 species